UUAAGUUCAGCGGGUAGUCCUACCUGAUUUGAGGUUAAAUUGUCAUAAGUUGUCCACAGAGGGACGGUUAUAAGCAGCACAACCCAUAUAAAGCAGAUGUCCACGGCGUAGAUAUUAUCACACCAAUAGACGAUUCCGCACGGGUACCGCUAAUACAUUUUAGAGGAGCUGACUUCGUUAGAAACCUGCAAGCCUCCAUA
rnacentral:misc_RNA from 1 species